GACGGGGGGGGCAAGUGUUCUUCGGAAUGACUGGGCGGAAAGGGCACGUAGGCGGUGAAUCGGGUUGAAAGUGAAAGUCGCCAAAAACUGGCGGAAUGCUCUCGAAACCAAUUCACUUGAGUGAGACAGAGGAGAGUGGAAUUUCGUGUGUAGGGGUGAAAUCCGGAGAUCUACGAAGGAACGCCAAAAGCGAAGGCAGCUCUCUGGGUCCCUACCGACGCUGGGGUGCGAAAGCAUGGGGAGCGAACAGG
rnacentral:rRNA from 1 species